rnacentral:rRNA from 1 species
AUUGAACGCUGGCGGCAGGCUUAACACAUGCAAGUCGAGCGAGCGGCGGACGGGUGAGUAAUGUCUGGGAAACUGCCUGAUGGAGGGGGAUAACUACUGGAAACGGUAGCUAAUACCGCAUACCAUCAGAUGUGCCCAUAUGGGAUUAGCUAGUCGGUGGGGUAAAGGAUCACCGAGGCGACGAUCCAUAGCUGGUCUGAGAGGAUGACAAGCCACACUGGAACUGAGACACGGUCCAGACUCAUACGGGAGGCAGCAGUGGGGAAUAUUGCACAAUGGGCGCAAGCCUGAUGCAGCCAUGCCGCGUGUGUGAAGAAGGCCUUCGGGUUGUAAAGCACUUUCAGCGAGGAGGCGUUACUCGCAGAAGAAGCACCGGCUAACUCCGUGCCAGCAGCCGCGGUAAUUC